UACGUAGGGUGCGAGCGUUGCCCGGAUUUAUUGGGCGUAAAGGGCGCGUAGGCGGCCACGCACGUCCGUUGUGAAAUCGCCCGGCUCAACUGGGCGGGGUCGGCGGAUACGGCGUGGCUGGAGCAAGCUAGGGGGCAAUGGAAUUCCCGGUGUAGUGGUGGAAUGCGUAGAUAUCGGGAGGAACACCUGAGGUGAAGACGGGUUGCUGGGCUGACACUGACGCUGAGGCGCGAAAGCUAGGGUAGCAAACGGG
rnacentral:rRNA from 1 species